UACGUAGGGUGCAAGCGUUGUCCGGAAUUAUUGGGCGUAAAGAGCUCGUAGGCGGUCUGUCGCGUCUGCUGUGAAAACUCGGGGGCUUAACCCCGGGCCUGCAGUGGGUACGGGCAGACUAGAGUGCGGUAGGGGAGACUGGAAUUCCUGGUGUAGCGGUGAAAUGCGCAGAUAUCAGGAGGAACACCGGUGGCGAAGGCGGGUCUCUGGGCCGUAACUGACGCUGAGGAGCGAAAGCGUGGGGAGCGAACAGG
rnacentral:rRNA from 1 species